AUCAAAAUCAAGAUCAGGGCCCCUAAAACUUAGGAGGGGGAUAUUCCCACUUGAUAAUUAUCUUUAUAUCUCGUUGUCAAAAUUCGAAUUUAAUAUUCCGUCGACUCAUCAAGCCUACACACAUACGUGGCAAGCCUAUAGUGAAAAGGUGUCCCUUACGGACCGUAAGGGAUAAGGCUUACGGUCCGUAAGCCAGUCAAAUUUCGUGUAUAAAUAGCAGGCAUCGGCACUUGCAGUCUGCUGUUCAUUCGACGAUUAAAUUCCGAUUAUACACCGAGUUAUCGUCUAAAUACUCUAAAAACACACACGCGAAUCACUAAUUAGUAUAGCAGGGUGCUGCUACGAUACAGGGUAUUAACUCGAUCGCUAUUACGAUUCAUUUUCCGACCGAUCAAUAUAUCCAAUGGAUGUUUAAGUGCCACCCACAUUAGGGUUAUACUUUGUCGUUCGUCGUUAAUUCGAUGGAUGUUUAAGUAUCGUACUUUGUCGUUCGUCGUUAAAUCGAUGGAUGUUUAAGUAUCGCACUUUGUCGUUCGUUGUGAGAAUUUGAUCUCGUGAGUUAUCGUAAUUGUUGUAUUAAGUGACCUACCUAGUUCGUGUGCACUAGGUUACAAGGCUAAAUCAAUAGGCUAAGCUCUGCCUGUAUAAAUCUGCAAUAUAUCAAGGCUUAUCUGUAGACUAAACUUUGGCCGUAUGAAUCUGCAUGAUUAUAAUGUAAUUACAGUAGAUUGGAGUAAGGAUUGGAUCCGGCACUAUAAGACUUCAAGAAGUGGCUUAUUUUAUUAAGUAAAUCAAAUUAAGAAAUAUUAUUUUUAUUAAAAGCUACCUUUGUAAAACAUGGAAUUUAUUUCAUCUAUUUAAAUAAAAUCCGGUGUUUCUAAACUCUGAUAAUUUCCUAACUCACGGUCCUGAUGAAAUUUCCGCUGCAAUGUUUUUUUUUAAAAUAAUCACCGGUACCACUAGACUGCUCGCGGCUUCCGAUUCCGGCUAGGAUGGGGUCGGGGGUCGUGACAAUAUGUGUUCCUAAGAGUUAGUCAGAUGCUUAAGCGUACCCCAUUACCCUUAAAACACCAAACCUGUUGUAGAACUAGCUAAUGGUAAAAGUCUUGAGGGUGCAGACAUAGUUAAGGGUUGUAACCUCGCUUUAACUGGUCAGACCUUCUCUAUCGACUCUAUCCCCUUCAUACUUGGUAGCUUCGACGUCGUUAUCGGGAUGGAUUGGUUGACUCAUCAUCGAAUAGAGAUUCUUUGUAAGGAGAAAUAGUCCGCAUUCCUCAUUCUGGUGAAGAACCUCUUAUUAUUUGUAGCAACAAGAGUAGCGCUGUGGUGAACAUCAUCUUUUUCCUUAAGGCCCAUAAGUGCUUACGAAAGGGCCACACUGUCAUCCUAGCUCUUGCUACUGACACCUCGACGAAAAGAAAAGGGGAUAGAAGAUACCCCGAUUGUACACGACUUUCCUGAAGUAUUCCCUGAGGAAUCACCUGGCCUUCCGCCUCAUCGUCAGGUCGAAUUUCAAAUCGAGCUAGCUCCUGGAGCAGCACCAAUAGCUCGUGUCCGCUCAGCUUCAGGAACUUUUGGGCAAGGGUUUCAUUCAUCCUAGCUCUUUGCCUUGGGAAGCUCCAGCGUUGUUCGUAAAGAAAAAGGACGGUGCCUUCCGCAUGUGCAUUGAUUACCACGAACUCAACAAGGUGACCGUGAAGAAUCGCUACUCUCUCCCUCAUAUUGACAACCAGUUCGACCAGUUGCAAGGGAGACAUUUGUGAUUUUGGAACUUCUUCGUAAAGGACAGCUUACGCUAAGAUCUCGAAAUGUGACUUUUGGCUUCGUGAAGUCCAUUUCCUAGACCACGUGGUUAAUAAGGAUGGGAUUCAUGUUGAUCCAUCCAAGGUUGACUCAAUCAAGAACUGGGCUGCAAAUCUUGGGAUUUGUAUGUAACGCUCCGCGUUUUUCAUAACUUUCCAUACUUAGAAGCCGUUGUUCAUAUUCCUAUUUUUGGAAACUUUGUGACCUUGUAUUCGAUGUUUCGUUGUAAUUGUCGAAUAAUCUUUAUCUUUAAUCUAUU
rnacentral:lncRNA from 1 species